UUUCAUUAAAAGUAUUUUUUAAUGCAAAUUAAUCAAAUUGGAAAAAAGAUCCAAAAGAAAAUGAAAUUAGCCUUUGAAGAAAACAAAGUUGCAUUUUAUAGGGGAUUUUAGUAGUUUGUGGACGAUCAAUCACGAUUCCACGAGUCGACACAAGACAACGUGAGCUGAACCCCGACCCUGAAUUUCUUUCAAAAUGUGGAAGCUCAGCGAUGGUGUAUUUGUCGAUGAUGAAGAGCGUAGUCAGAGCUUGUUGGAUGAAGAUUCAGAAGAUCUAUGCUCUCUAACUCCUGUACAGAGGCUGUACGCUUUUGGAGGCUGCUUGACCGGGGGCGUGGUUUGCAUGAUUUUGUCAUUACUUGUUUUUGCUAAGCCUCUCAAAUUUGCUGUACUUUUUACAUUUGGCAAUGUUUUGGCAGUUGGAAGCACAGCUUUCCUCUUUGGACCCGGGCAACAAAUAAGAAUGAUGUUUGAUUCUGUUCGUAUUUUUGCGACAGCUAUUUACCUGGGAUGCGUUGUUCUAGCUCUUAUAUGUGCUCUCUGGAUCCACAAUAAAAUCUUGACAGUGUUUGCAAUGAUAAGCGAGAUAUGUGCUCUAAUAUGGUAUAGUUUGAGCUAUAUUCCUUUUGCCCGGAGGAUGGUCUCUCAAUUGAUGGUCCGAUUUUGUGACACGGAACUAUAGACAAUGAAACAUGCGAUAAUGAUCGAUGAUUCAGUGUCUUCAAGAUCUGAGAUUGUUUCUUGUCUUAGUUGUUUUUUACAUUUCAGUAAAACAAAGUCUGAACGUUUAGAAUGGAAGUAUGAAGCCCAAUCAUCAUGCAAUAAGCUUUCAUCGUAUUAUCUGUUGAAGCCCAUUAAACCUCAGAUCCAAAAUCAACAAAAGUGAGCAAUUCUCCAGGUUAGCAACAAUAUCCACUUUCUCUAUCUAUUUGUUUUAACCGUUUACUUGAAAUUUUCUGCAUUGCUCCGUGUUAAACCACCACUAAAUACUAAAUUCAAAAGGCUCAAGUUGCUAGGCAAGAGUAUGCUUGUUUUUUAUACACAUUCUUAACAUUCAAAACCAAAGACUCAACCAACCAUCAAAGGAGUAAGUAAAGGAAAAAACAGAGGUAGAAAUAAACAGCCUUGUUACAAAGCUUGGCUUUCGUUUCAUGAAUUUCUUGUCAUCUAAACGAGUUGAUUUCUAAAGUUUAAGAGUUAAACUUUGGAGUUAAAAGAAGAUUAUAUUUAGAGUGUAGAGUUGUAAUUGUGAAGAUGAAAUUUUUCGAUAUUUGUAAACUUCAAUAGUAAAAACACUAUUGAAAUUAGUGGAGUUGAGAAGUAGAUGUGUCAAACACUCCCUAUUUUGGGUUAACUGAUGGGCUGCAAGCCCAUAAAAAUGAACAGGAAAAGAACUCAAACCAGAGCUCCUGUCUAUAUUUUAAUGGCAACUUGUCAGUUAGGUUCUGAAAGUGAAAUCCAGAUAUAUCAUGCUUAGGGUGCAUUCUUAUGACUGUUAUGACCGGAGAAUUUAUAAAAUAUUUGUAUAUGACACAAACCUUACAUCAUAACACCAUGUGGAAAACUUUUCCACCUACCUCAAUGGUCUCCUCCCACCUACCCAUGUGGGGGAUUUGCCUUCUUCAACUGCCAAACCUUUCGCUUCCAAGUUGAUGAAACUAUCUUUUUUCUUAAAUUAUUGGCAUAAUUCAUAAACUCAUCACAUUCAAGGCAACACAUGUCUGCUCCACUACGCAUAUGGCCAUGUUACACAUUCAUUUUACCAUAAUGCCCCCCAACCCCCUUUCUCUGAUAAUGAUGGUGGCUCCAUACUUUAACCUUUUGUGAAGCUUGUUCUGUAGGAAAUCUGAUUGUGUCUUUUGAAUCUUUUGGACUAUAUGAAACUUCUGCGAGGUUGGGGAAGGAGUAUGGGCAUGGGAAUCCAUUGUUUUGACCUGUGAUUACAAAAAAGUUGGAUUCUUUUUUGUAUUUUGACAGAAAGUCCCCCAUUAUAGUAAUGGUUGGGCUAACUGCUAAGCUAACAGUGUCUAAACGUGAAAAACAAAUCAACUGCUUCUAUAUAAAGAAUAUUUUUGGUUUUGGUGGGAA